rnacentral:rRNA from 1 species
CCCUUAGAUGUCCUGGGCCGCACGCGCGUUACACUGAUGCAUUCAACGAGCUUAUAACCUUGGCCGAGAGGCCUGGGCAAUCUUGUUAACGUGCAUCGUGAUAGGGAUAGAUUAUUGAAAUUAUUAAUCUUGAACGAGGAAUUCCUAGUAAACGCAGAUCAUCAAUCUGCAUUGAUUACGUCCCUGCCCUUUGUACACACCGCCCGUCGCACCUACCGAUUGGAUGAUUUAGUGAGGACUUCGGACUGGGACCGAUGCGGCUUUCGGGCUGCGUCGGUAUUCUGGAAAGAUGUCCAAACUGUAUCAUUUAGAGGAAGUAAAAGUCGUAACA